rnacentral:rRNA from 1 species
UACGUAGGGUGCAAGCGUUGCCCGGAUUUAUUGGGCGUAAAGGGCGCGUAGGCGGCUCGGCACGUCCGUUGUGAAAUCGCCCGGCUCAACUGGGCGGGGUCAGCGGAUACGGCCGAGCUUGAGCAAGCUAGGGGGCAACGGAAUUCCCGGUGUAGUGGUGGAAUGCGUAGAUAUCGGGAGGAACACCAAUGGCGAAGGCAGCUCGCUGGGACGGUACUGACGCUGAGACGCGAAAGCGUGGGGAGCAAACAGG